AAAAAAGGUCGGCCAAAUGCCGUGGAUCAAAUGACGAGCAAUAUUACUCACUUGCCAUAACAUAUAAUAAAUUUUAAUAAUAUUAAUUAUAAAGAUUAACAAUAAUAUAAUUAGUGAAAUAAUGAAGCGUACAGGUGAGCUACUUUCUUAAUUACGAUUCUAGGGGUCUAUAUUUACGCAAUCCGGCCAAUACGUCUUGUAUGAUGGAUAAGCUGGGUGUCGAGAUGUCCUUGAUGUGUUUUAUUAGAAGGUGACCAUCAAUGUGCAACGAUGGUGGUCAUCAAGGGAUGGCCGUUUACCUCGCGUGGCCAUCGCGGGAACGGGAUGUUUAUUGUGUCCACCACUGGUCCCUGGUUACUACCCUUGGCGUCGACAAUUAUCGGCCUCGGAAGCGUAUUGGAAAUUCCAAAUGUAGCAAUAACAAAACAAGUUGUAAAUCAGCAUAUGCAUGAUUAAAGCGCAUUUUUGGUAAUGCAGUUUGAAAAAUGUAUGAUCGAGCGAGCAAUAGCACUCCUGCCGCUGGUUGACAACGAAAAGGAAAAGCCCAAUGUUGGCGCGGUGUAUGUGAGCGCCGAAAAUUUGUAAGUGGGAACGAAGAGAUAACUUACGGAAACCCGAUCUAUACAUGAUAUACAGCGUGUACCGUAACACUAUAGGAACUUUAACCUGUUCUAAUCAAAUGCAAGUUUCGAAUAACCCCACCCCAUGAACAGAAAUGGUCAGUUGGGUGAAGAUGGAACACGCGUCCGGGAAGAGUAUAUAAGUUACGCACCUGCUAUAGAAAAUUUUGAAAUUGGAGAUGACGACAUUAUAGUCGCCACUUUUCCCAAAUCAGGCACAACUUGGGCACAAGAAAUGGUUUGGUUAAUCAAAUACUGCAAUAAUCUUGAAAGUUGCUCGGCCGAUAUCUACCAACGGUUUCCCAUGCUGGAGUAACAAAUUGUUUGUUCUGGACGAAAGUGUAAUCUUUACCUUUUAGAGGAUGUACUAUUCAAUGGUCCUGUAAGACUGAGCACUGGCUUCGAGAUUCCAUCGAAUAUCUCAAUCAAAUCAACAAUCAAAGAUUUAUUGGUGCCAGUUCGAUAUGCGGUCUACCUCGGGGUAUCUGGUUCGAUAUGCGGUCUACCAGAGAGUACUGGUCCAAUAUGCAUGACUAUUAUGUAGGUACAUAUUCGGCUUUGGGAUUUUUUUUGGGAUCUCUUGAUUCAAUAAGCGAUCUACACCAAAAAUUGUUUAUUAUUUUUAUUAUAGUUAAUUAUUAUUCAUAAUAGUUCAAUUCGAGGUUUAAUUACAAGCUAUUACACAUGCAACGCCCUCGCUAAAGAAAGCAAUAAAGUAAUUGAAAAACGGGUAAUUGAGUACUUUCACUGAGGGAUGAGUAUUAUGAUACUCAUUAAUUAAUAAUUAAUUAAUUAAAAUUAUGUCCACCCACAAAGAGGUGCACAUUCUCAGGAAUUGAAAGAUCCUGGUUAGACGCCAAAGUGAAAAUUUUGAAGAAAAUGAGAGGUGUUCCAGCGCACACUUUGCAAUCCCAUUUAGAUUAUUUCGCAUGGAGAGUGUUGCGAAAAAACGCAGAGGAUGAGUUUAUUGCAUUUCUGAACGACGUUAGAGAUGUAUAUGUAUAAAUUGACAAUGUAAUUAUCUUUACUGUAUGACAUAGUUAAACAUAAUAAAUAUUAUAGACACUAGUUUGCUUAUUGAUCCGUAAUACCACAGAUUUAAAUAUACUAUUUAAAUCUGUGGUAAUACUUAUGUUGGUAUGCAUAUUAUGUAGACCGCACAUUGAA